rnacentral:tRNA from 1 species
GCACCUUUAGCUCAGCUGGAUAGAGCGCUGCCCUCCGAAGGCAGAGGCCAGAGGUUCGAAUCCUCUAAGGUGCA